GGGGAAUUUUGGACAAUGGGGGAAACCCUGAUCCAGCCAUCCCGCGUGUGCGAUGAAGGCCUUCGGGUUGUAAAGCACUUUUGUCAGGGAAGAAAAGGUUCUGGCUAAUACCCGGAACUGAUGACGGUACCUGAAGAAUAAGCACCGGCUAACUACGUGCCAGCAGCUGCGGUAAUACGUAGGGUGCAAGCGUUAAUCGGAAUUACUGGGCGUAAAGCGUGCGCAGGCGGUUCGGAAAGAAGGAUGUGAAAUCCCAGGGCUCAACCUUGGAACUGCAUUCUUAACUACCGAACUAGAGUAUGUCAGAGGGGGGUAGAAUUCCGCGUGUAGCAGUGAAAUGCGUAGAUAUGCGGAGGAAUACCGAUGGCGAAGGCAGCCCCCUGGGAUAAUACUGACGCUCAUGCACGAAAGCGUGGGUAGCAAAC
rnacentral:rRNA from 1 species